CCUACGGGAGGCAGCAGUGGGGAAUAUUGCGCAAUGGGCGAAAGCCUGACGCAGCGACGCCGCGUGAGGGAUGAAGGUUUUCGGAUCGUAAACCUCUGUCAGCAGGGAAGAACGGUCACUGUGCUAAUCAGCAGAGAAUAGACGGUACCUGCACAGGAAGCACCGGCUAACUCCGUGCCAGCAGCCGCGGUAAUACGGAGGUGGCGAGCGUUAUCCGGAAUUACUGGGCGUAAAGCGCUCGUAGGUGGUAUGACAAGUCAAGGGUGAAAUCCCCGGGCUCAACGUGGGAACGGCCUUUGAAACUGGCAAACUUGAGUGUAGGAGAGGAUAGUGGAAUUCCAGGUGUAGGGGUGAAAUCCGUAGAUAUCUGGAGGAACAUCAGUGGCGAAGGCGACUAUCUGGCACAUAACUGACGCUGAGGAGCGAAAGCGUGGGUAGCAAACAGGAUUAGAUACCCUAGUAGUC
rnacentral:rRNA from 1 species